UAAGUUAAACUUAAAUUUAAGUGAAAUUCUGUUACAUUGAAUUUUUUAAAGUGUAAUUCUUUAUAACUUAA
rnacentral:tRNA from 1 species